rnacentral:lncRNA from 1 species
UCCUGUGUCCCUAUGCCCAGCCGUCCACUCCCUGCUGUGAACAGCUGUAUUCUUCCACAUCCCCACGCUUUGCACAUUCAGUUUCUUUGUCCUUCCUAUCUGUUCUGUGUUUCCAACUCCAGCUCGUUGAAAACUGUACUUAAUUUCACUUUUUGUUGGUGACCGCCCAGACAAUCAAAUCCACUCCUUCUGAGGGCUUUCCUGGUGGCUCGGUGGUAAAGAAUCCACCUGCCAAUGCAGGACUUACAGGUUUGAUCCCUGUGAUAGGAAGGUCCCCUGGAGGAGGCAGUGGCAACCCACUCCAGUAUUCUUGCCUGGAGAAUCCCAUGGACAGAGAAGCCUGGCAGACUACAGUCCCCAUGGUUGCAAAGAGUCAGACAUGACUGAGGGACUCAACAACAACUUUCUUUACAGGUCACAGGAAAGGGCAUAAAGGAGAAGAAAAAGGACAAAUACUCACAGUGGGUCUUGGGCCAGCCCGGUUUCAGCUGCAGUACAUGGGCCACUAUCUGGUGCAUGAUGAGAGGAAAGAUCCAGACCCCAGAGUUCAGGACUUUAUUCCUGACAACUGGCAGAGCCCACCUUUGUAUGCUCAAAAGCACUGUGGUUUUCUCUUCUGGGAGAGGCAGUGAUCUCCUCACAAGUUCUCUAGGAUCUCUUGGCGUGUUUUCAGCUCCCAACCACUGCUUUGCGGCACAGUGUUACCCGGCCCAAGCUCGCUCUGUUUGCGGCAAGUCAGUAAGUCAGGAGGCAAGUUGUUGGGAUAAGAAUUUUAACUGGAAAGCCAGCAGACCCAGAAGAUGGCAGACUGGUGUCUCAGAAAACCAUCUCCCUCAGUCCCAGUUCAGACUCCUUUUAUACACAAGAGGGGAGGGACCCAGGACCAAUCGCCAAGAAGGACCACUCAGGUGGCUGGUUGACAGUUG